GCGGUCCUCUCCAAGGUUUCUCAUAGUCAUCAUUGUCACCGACGUCCCACUGGGUGUGAGUACCACUGGGUGUGAGUACCACUGGGUGUGAGUUUUCCUUGCCCUUAUGUGGGCUCUUCCGAGGAUGUCGUUCGGAUUUGUGUUGUGGUUUGUGCAGCCCUUUGAGACACUAGUGAUUUAGGGCUAUAUAAAUAAUCAUUGAUUGAUUGAUUGAUCAAUAUUAAUAUUUCAGAAUGUUUUUAUUUUUGUUACUGAAGUCUUUGUGUCAAUUUUAUGUCAAACGAGUUCUUUAUUUUUGUUGAUUGACUGUUAUUUUAUUCUACUCCUUCUUGUCACGGCAUACUGUCAGUUUUCCGUAGUUUCCUCGAUAUUUCUGUAGCUCCUCCCCUUCUUCCUCACUUCCUGCUUGCGACGCAGUGGUGGAGUUGCGUCUAAAUUAACGUCGUGCUGUGUGUCGUUUUAUAUCAAAAACGAACGGUUUGUUUUUGUAAUUCUCCCUGUAUAUUAUUUACUUUUUAUGCACGUUAAGAUAUCGAGUGUUUUUGUGUUAUUUUAACCGCUAUUUUGAGCGCUACAAGCGUUUUGUUUGAGCGGCAGUGUUGGCGCGAUUUGUAUGAAGCGGUCCUCUAUCAUGUCACGUGACCACGCCGCCGCCGGAAGUAGGUUUUCUACAUGUGAGGAGCAGAGCGUUACAAUGAGUCACGGAGAAGGACUUUGUGAUUUUAACUUCAUUUUCAGUAUCUUGUCCUCAACGGCCUGCAAGGCAGCAGCAAGCGACGCACUCGUCUCUUCCAGCUUCUGAUGUACCAAAGAAUCGGCGCCAAAGUCCGGUGUCGGGGUGACCGGCGCUGUCACGCCUACCGCUGCCAUCCCGCUGUCCACGGACACGCCCCCGAUAGAGGAGCGAGGAGGCUUGACCGGCGGGCUGGGAGUGGCAGGAGUCUGAGGCGUCUGAGGCGUGAAGGAAAGGUUGUGAUUUUGCUCCGUUCCUGUGAGAAUCCCGCGCCUGACUAAAGCAUUAAAGAGUGGGACUAUCCAGGACGAGCUGAGACAACCACCAGCUCUCCGUUGUGCUGGUCUGAGGUGCCCGGGACCAGUGCCUUACCUCCGGAGUCAUUCGGCUAACGGUGGGCAAGUCAUACCCGGCGCCCAAGAAGUUUGGAGCGUAGACCUGCAGCUGAAAGUCGCUCAGCCAUUGGACAACGGCCUCUGAGCUCUACAGGAGAGGAGACAGGAGGGCAAUGCUGUCACUGGUUUCCAUGGCAGCCACCAUCUUGGUGCCACCAAAAACUGUCCUGAAACCACGUCUGUCCGUAGCCAAAAUAGCAACAAUUAGGGAAUACGAGGAAGACUCAUUCAUCUCUAUGAAUGUUCUGAACUCCUGUUUCAACGCCACUCUCUUUGAUCAGAUUAUAGCUCAUGCGCUACAGCACCCUUUUCCAACAUGGUUGGAUGUUGGGGUUGCGCCAUUCGGCGAUAUAAAUGAUAUAUUUAUGACCUCCUUCUGAGCCAGCAAAACGUUUACUUACAAGUAUUGUUAUCACCGGAGAACGAGGAAUAGCUAAAAAUGCUGUGCUACACACUGUAGGAGGAUAUGCUACCCGCUUAGGUAGUGCGCUAAGAUGUAAAAAAAAAAGUGGCUUCAUCGAUAACAAGUAUAGUAUUGGUAGGGAUGGUGUUUUUUCGCAUUUGAACCAAUACGGUACCAAUUUCCGGUACCUGGUGAUUGAUACCAGUACUCAACGGUACUACGUUUCGGGACAUUUGUGAGUUAAUAAAUAUUGUUUUUAAUUAUAACAUUAAAAAAUGAACUGAUUAUGAUCAUUUCUGUCUUGUUGUUGUAUCGUGUCUUAUAAUAAAAUUUCUGAGUCAAUUUCUUCGUUGGC